CGGUGGUCUUUGCGUUUAUGGAGAAAUGCCAUGGAAAGGGGAAAAUUAAGGUGGUGUUGGUGCGGAAGAGAGAGGGAGAGCAAAAGAGUUGGUGGGUUCUUUUGCUCUCUCGCUCUCCUCAGAGUGUGGAUUUCAGCAGUGAAACUGACAAUUGGGGAUUUGGGGAAAUUGGAAAAGGGAAGAGAGGGUUAGGGUUUAAAGUUAAGGAAUUUAGAUUUCGGAUGGUUUUGGAGGGUUUUUCCCCAAAAUUAUCAGUUUCCC
rnacentral:misc_RNA from 1 species